AAAGGAGAACCUUGACUAGGGUGUCCUUGAUUACCAAGCAUGUGUUACACUUUUCACAGUCUAAUGCGACCAACUAAGGAUUCAUUUCAUCUUUAUUGUUAGCAGUAUUGGUUUCGUAAGUAUACUUGCAGGUCUCUGAGAUGUACCUAAUACGCUGUGCUGGCUGUGGGAUCCUUCUGUGACGGAAAGGAGUAUUACCUGUGUUGCGGUUUCAGUGAUAAUAUAACAUCUAGUAAUAUACUUGUUUGAUGAA